rnacentral:rRNA from 1 species
UACGUAGGCAGCAAGCGUUGUUCGGAAUUACUGGGCGUAAAGAGUGUGUAGGCGGUGUCGUAAGUUUGGUGUGAAAUCUCCCGGCUUAACUGGGAGGGUGCGCCGAAGACUGCGAUGCUUGAGUAUGGGAGAGGAAAGCGGAAUUCCUGGUGUAGCGGUGAAAUGCGUAGAUAUCAGGAGGAACACCUGCGGUGUAGACGGCUUUCUGGACCAUUACUGACGCUGAGACACGAAAGCGUGGGUAGCAAACAGG